GUGGUUCAACUGAUUUGAAGAGCUUGCUCAGAUAUGACGAUGGACAUUGCAAAGAGUGGCGAACGGGUGAGUAACACGUGGGAAACCUACCUCUUAGCAGGGGAUAACAUUUGGAAACAGAUGCUAAUACCGUAUAACAAUAGCAACCGCAUGGUUGCUACUUAAAAGAUGGUUCUGCUAUCACUAAGAGAUGGUCCCGCGGUGCAUUAGUUAGUUGGUGAGGUAAUGGCUCACCAAGACGAUGAUGCAUAGCCGAGUUGAGAGACUGAUCGGCCACAAUGGGACUGAGACACGGCCCAUACUCCUACGGGAGGCAGCAGUAGGGAAUCUUCCACAAUGGGCGAAAGCCUGAUGGAGCAACGCCGCGUGUGUGAUGAAGGGUUUCGGCUCGUAAAACACUGUUGUAAGAGAAGAAUGACAUUGAGAGUAACUGUUCAAUGUGUGACGGUAUCUUACCAGAAAGGAACGGCUAAAUACGUGCCAGCAGCCGCGGUAAUACGUAUGUUCCAAGCGUUAUCCGGAUUUAUUGGGCGUAAAGCGAGCGCAGACGGUUAUUUAAGUCUGAAGUGAAAGCCCUCAGCUCAACUGAGGAAUUGCUUUGGAAACUGGAUGACUUGAGUGCAGUAGAGGAAAGUGGAACUCCAUGUGUAGCGGUGAAAUGCGUAGAUAUAUGGAAGAACACCAGUGGCGAAGGCGGCUUUCUGGACUGUAACUGACGUUGAGGCUCGAAAGUGUGGGUAGCAAACAGGAUUAGAUACCCUGGUAGUCCACACCGUAAACGAUGAGUGCU
rnacentral:rRNA from 1 species